rnacentral:rRNA from 1 species
CGAACGCUGGCGGCGUGCUUAACACAUGCAAGUCGCACGGAAAGGCCCUGCUUGCAGGGUACUCGAGUGGCGAACGGGUGAGUAACACGUGGGUGAUCUGCCCUGCACUUCGGGAUAAGCCUGGGAAACUGGGUCUAAUACCGGAUAGGAGCCAUUUUUAGUGUGAUGGUUGGAAAGUUUUUUCGGUGUAGGAUGAGCUCGCGGCCUAUCAGCUUGUUGGUGGGGUAAUGGCCUACCAAGGCGGCGACGGGUAGCCGGCCUGAGAGGGUGGACGGCCACAUUGGGACUGAGAUACGGCCCAGACUCCUACGGGAGGCAGCAGUGGGGAAUAUUGCACAAUGGGCGCAAGCCUGAUGCAGCGACGCCGCGUGGGGGAUGACGGCCUUCGGGUUGUAAACUCCUUUCGCUAGGGACGAAGCUUUUUGUGACGGUACCUAGAUAAGAAGCACCGGCUAACUACGUG